GAUGAACGCUGGCGGCGUGCCUAAUACAUGCAAGUCGAGCGAACAGAUGAGGAGCUUGCUCCUCUGACGUUAGCGGCGGACGGGUGAGUAACACGUGGAUAACCUACCUAUAAGACUGGGAUAACUUCGGGAAACCGGAGCUAAUACCGGAUAAUAUAUUGAACCGCAUGGUUCAAUAGUGAAAGACGGUUUUGCUGUCACUUAUAGAUGGAUCCGCGCCGCAUUAGCUAGUUGGUAAGGUAACGGCUUACCAAGGCAACGAUGCGUAGCCGACCUGAGAGAGUGAUCGGCCACACUGGAACUUAGCCACGGUCCAGACUCCUACGGGAGGCAGCAGUAGGGAAUCUUCCGCAAAGGGCGAAAGCCUGACGGAGCAACGCCGCGUGAGUGAUGAAGGUCUUCGGAUCGUAAAACUCUGUUAUUAGGGAAGAACAAAUGUGUAAGUAACUAUGCACGUCUUGACGGUACCUAAUCAGAAAGCCACGGCUAACUACGUG
rnacentral:rRNA from 1 species